rnacentral:rRNA from 1 species
AUUGAACGCUGGCGGCAUGCCUUACACAUGCAAGUCGAACGGCAGCACGGGUGCUUGCACCUGGUGGCGAGUGGCGAACGGGUGAGUAAUACAUCGGAACAUGUCCUGUAGUGGGGGAUAGCCCGGCGAAAGCCGGAUUAAUACCGCAUACGAUCUACGGAUGAAAGCGGGGGACCUUCGGGCCUCGCGCUAUAGGGUUGGCCGAUAGCUGAUUAGCUUGUUGGUGGGGUAAAGGCCUACCAAGGCGACGAUCAGUAGCUGGUCUGAGAGGACGACCAGCCACACUGGGACUGAGACACGGCCCAGACUCCUACGGGAGGCAGCAGUGGGGAAUUUUGGACAAUGGGCGAAAGCCUGAUCCAGCAAUGCCGCGUGUGUGAAGAAGGCCUUCGGGUUGUAAAGCACUUUUGUCCGGAAAGAAAUCCUUGGCUCUAAUACAGUCGGGGGAUGACGGUACCGGAAGAAUAAGCACCGGCUAACUACGUG